UUUAUACGUCGAAUUUUGGUCGCGUCGACUGCAAUUAAGACAAUAGAUAAUGAGGUGAUAAAUCUUAUUAAGCUUCAUUCGAUGCGACCAAAAUUCGACUUAUAAA